CGAAAGGAAUGCGUGGGAAUAGCAGGAGGGCUUGGGGAUUUGGCGUAAGUUGUUACAGAGAAAAUCUCAUCGCGGGCUGCUGCGUCACGGCCUCCCCCUAGUAACGGGGCUGAGCUCCCCGGCCGAAAGCCGCGUUUCUCCCAGGUGUGCGUCACCGCGGUCCGGUGCCUGGGGAAAAGUCGAGCUGGGCGUCUCCGGGAAGGGGCGAGGGAGGCGAAGCCUGCGCGUGCGAUACCCGCCUUCCCGGGGCCGGAAAGAGUUAAAGUGCUCAGCUGCAAGACGAAGAGCAAGCCCGCAGCCUGGUGACCUCCAGCCGCCCCGAGAGCAGCAGCCGGAGCCGAAGAGGAGCAGCGCUUCGGCGGGGAGGCGGCAGCGGGCAGCGCGGCGUGCGGCUGCGGCGCGACCCUGACGGCUUCCGCCGCGACGGCCUCGAUGCUGUAAAAAUACGUAUAUUCAGGCAGGGACGUCGGCUGGAGCCCAGCGGAGCGGCGCCCGAGGCAGGGCCGCUCAGCGCAGCAGCAGCACCGGCCGGGGCGGAGCGGCGCGGCGCGGAGGCGGAGCGGGGCCGGGC